UAGCGCAAGGGAGCGUCGCAACCGGCCGCCCGUCCCGCCCCGUCGCCAGGCAUCCCGCCCCUGCCCCGUCCCGCCCCUUCUCGUCCCCAACGCCGUCACACCUGCCUCUCUCUCCUCUUCCCUCCUCCCCCGUCCCCCGCCCUCCUGGCAUUCAUAGUGUGGAGAACACCUGUGUUGUGAGUGUGUGUGCUGCUGCUUCUCUUCUGCUGUGGCGUCAGUCCAAGGCGAUCGAGCGUCUAAGAGAGAGACUGUGUGUAUCAGUGGAUGAAGCGGAUGUCGGAGAUGGAAGGAGAGACCCCGUUAAAACGAACCCCGUCCAGGCGGGGACACAGAGCUCCGCUUGCUGAUUCAGAGCAAGGCUGCCGGUUCUGUUGAUCGGCAAGGGAGGACAGAACAUUUCGCGGCUGAGAGCGAGGUGCGU